GACGAACGCUGGCGGCGUGCCUAAUACAUGCAAGUCGAACGCAGUGGGGACGGGUGAGUAACACGUUGGUAACCUCCCAUCAGAGGGGAUAACACUUGGAAACAGGUGCUAAACCGAUACUGAUGGAUGGACCCGCGGUGUAUUAGCUUGGUGGUGAGGUAACGGCUCACCAAGGCCACGAUGCAUAGCCGACCGGAGAGAGUAAUCGGCCACACUGGAACGGAGACACGGCCCAGACUCCUACGGGAGGCAGCAGUGGGGAAUUUUCGGCAAUGGAGGAAAGCCUAACCGGGCAACGCCGCGUGAGUGAAGAGGGUUUUCGGACCGUAAAACUCUUUUGUUAGGGAAGCGGUAUCUAACCAGAAAGCCACGGCUAACUACGUGCCAGCAGCCGCGGUAAUUC
rnacentral:rRNA from 1 species